rnacentral:rRNA from 1 species
UUUUUUAAUUGAAAACUGGUAUGAAGGGUUGGACGAAAUAUAUACUAUUUUAUAAAAAAAAAAUAAUUUGAAUUUUAUUUUUUAGUAAAAAAGCUUAAAUAAAAUUAAAAGACGAGAAGACCCUAUAGAGUUUUAUAUAUUAUUAAAUUUUUUAUUAUUAAUUAUAAUUAAAUUAUUUAUUUUUAGUUUAUUUUAUUGGGGUGAUAAUAAAAUUUAAAAAACUUUUAUAAUUAAUUUUCAAUAAUUAUUGUUUUAUUGAUCCAAUUUAAAUUUAUUGAUUAAAAAAUUAAAUUACCUUAGGGAUAACAGCAUAAUUUUUUUUUAAAGUUCAUAUUAAAAAAAAA